GAUGAACGCUGACAGAAUGCUUAACACAUGCAAGUCUACUUGAAUUUGGGUUUUUUAACUUAGAUUUGGGUGGCGGACGGGUGAGUAACGCGUAAAGAACUUGCCUCACAGCUAGGGACAACAUUUGGAAACGAAUGCUAAUACCUGAUAUUAUGAUUAUAAGGCAUCUUAGAAUUAUGAAAGCUAUAUGCGCUGUGAGAGAGCUUUGCGUCCCAUUAGCUAGUUGGAGAGGUAACGGCUCACCAAGGCGAUGAUGGGUAGCCGGCCUGAGAGGGUGAACGGCCACAAGGGGACUGAGACACGGCCCUUACUCCUACGGGGGGCAGCAGUGGGGAAUAUUGGACAAUGGACCAAGAGUCUGAUCCAGCAAUUCUGUGUGCACGAUGACGUUUUUCGGAAUGUAAAGUGCUUUCAGUUGGGAAGAAAAAAAUGACGGUACCAACAGAAGAAGUGACGGCUAAAUACGUG
rnacentral:rRNA from 1 species